AUGCAGUCGAACGCACAGCGAAAGGUGCUUGCACCUUUCAAGUGAGUGGCGAACGGGUGAGUAACACGUGGACAACCUGCCUCAAGGCUGGGGAUAACAUUUGGAAACAGAUGCUAAUACCGAAUAAAACUCAGUGUCGCAUGACACAAAGUUAAAAGGCGCUUUGGCGUCACCUAGAGAUGGAUCCGCGGUGCAUUAGUUAGUUGGUGGGGUAAAGGCCUACCAAGACAAUGAUGCAUAGCCGAGUUGAGAGACUGAUCGGCCACAUUGGGACUGAGACACGGCCCAAACUCCUACGGGAGGCUGCAGUAGGGAAUCUUCCACAAUGGGCGAAAGCCUGAUGGAGCAACGCCGCGUGUGUGAUGAAGGCUUUCGGGUCGUAAAGCACUGUUGUAUG
rnacentral:rRNA from 1 species